CACUGUUGAUGCAUUUUCUGGCUAUCCUUCUCCAGACAACAUCACGGUUAGUGAAGUAGUGAAAUUUCUUGCAAGAUUGAGAAAACCGGCAGAGAGAUUUGCAAUCCAAAUAGGAAAGGAUGAGAUACAGCAUGUCUUCUGAGACAUGCAGGAAGCCAUUCCAGAAUCAACCGAGGAUCACGUGAUAUGUGUUCGUCAAUCAAAUUGAACCUCCCGAUGCAAGCGCAAGAGUUCCAUUCUUGUAUAGCAGGCUGACCUGGGUCAAAUACAAAUACGUAUACGUAUUUGAAAAUGUACUUAAAUACAUAUUUGAAGUAUUUUCAAAUACAUUUACACAUUAAAUACUUUGUAUUUGAUUUAUUUAAAUAAUUUUCAUGGGAAACCAAAUUCUUUCCCAAAUAGUA